CGGGGUGAGUAAUGUAUGGGGAUCUGCCUGAUGGCGGGGGAUAACUACUGGAAACGGUAGCUAAUACCGCAUAAUGUCUGCGGACCAAAGCGGGGGACCUCCGGGCCUCGCGCCAUCAGAUGAACCCACAUGGGAUUAGCUUGUAGGUAAGGUAACGGCUUACCUAGGCGACGAUCCCUAGCUGGUCUGAGAGGAUGAUCAGCCACACUGGGACUGAGACACGGCCCAG
rnacentral:rRNA from 1 species